rnacentral:rRNA from 1 species
AACGAAAGCUGGCGGCAGGCUUAACACAUGCAAGUCGAGCGCCCCGCAAGGGGAGCGGCAGACGGGUGAGUAACGCGUGGGAAUCUACCCAUCUCUACGGAAUAACGCAUGGAAACGUGUGCUAAUACCGUAUACGUCCUUCGGGAGCAAGAUUUAUCGGAGAUGGAUGAGCCCGCGUUGGAUUAGCUAGUUGGUGGGGUAAAGGCCUACCAAGGCGACGAUCCAUAGCUGGUCUGAGAGGAGGAUCAGCCACACUGGGACUGAGACACGGCCCAGUCUCCUACGGGAGGCAGCAGUGGGGAUUAUUGGACAAGGGGCACAAGCCUGAUCCAGCCAUGCCGCGUGAGUGAUGAAGGCCCUAGGGUUGUAAAGCCCUUUCACCGGUGAAGAUAAUGACGGUAACCGGAGAAGAAGCCCCGGCUAACUUCGUGCCAGCCGCCGCAGUAACAC